AGUAGAACGCUGAGAGAGGAGCUUGCUCUUCUUGGAUGAGUUGCGAACGGGUGAGUAACGCGUAGGUAACCUGCCUUGUAGCGGGGGAUAACUAUUGGAAACGAUAGCUAAUACCGCAUAACAAUGGAUGACACAUGUCAUUUAUUUGAAAGGGGCAAUUGCUCCACUACAAGAUGGACCUGCGUUGUAUUAGCUAGUAGGUGAGGUAAUGGCUCACCUAGGCGACGAUACAUAGCCGACCUGAGAGGGUGAUCGGCCACACUGGGACUGAGACACGGCCCAGACUCCUACGGGAGGCAGCAGUAGGGAAUCUUCGGCAAUGGGGGCAACCCUGACCGAGCAACGCCGCGUGAGUGAAGAAGGUUUUCGGAUCGUAAAGCUCUGUUGUAAGUCAAGAACGGGUGUGAGAGUGGAAAGUUCACACUGUGACGGUAGCUUACCAGAAAGGGACGGCUAACUACGUGCCAGCAGCCGCGGUAAUACGUAGGUCCCGAGCGUUGUCCGGAUUUAUUGGGCGUAAAGCGAGCGCAGGCGGUUUGAUAAGUCUGAAGUUAAAGGCUGUGGCUCAACCAUAGUUCGCUUUGGAAACUGUCAAACUUGAGUGCAGAAGGGGAGAGUGGAAUUUCCAUGUGUAGCGGUGAAAUGCGUAGAUAUAUGGAGGAACACCGGUGGCGAAAGCGGCUCUCUGGUCUGUAACUGACGCUGAGGCUCGAAAGCGUGGGGAGCGAACAGGAUUAGAUACCCUGGUAGUCCACGCCGUAAACGAUGAGUGCUAGGUGUUGGAUCCUUUCCGGGAUUCAGUGCCGCAGCUAACGCAUUAAGCACUCCGCCUGGGGAGUACGACCGCAAGGUUGAAACUCAAAGGAAUUGACGGGGGCCCGCACAAGCGGUGGAGCAUGUGGUUUAAUUCGAAGCAACGCGAAGAACCUUACCAGGUCUUGACAUCCCGAUGCUAUUUCUAGAGAUAGAAAGUUACUUCGGUACAUCGGUGACAGGUGGUGCAUGGUUGUCGUCAGCUCGUGUCGUGAGAUGUUGGGUUAAGUCCCGCAACGAGCGCAACCCCUAUUGUUAGUUGCCAUCAUUCAGUUGGGCACUCUAGCGAGACUGCCGGUAAUAAACCGGAGGAAGGUGGGGAUGACGUCAAAUCAUCAUGCCCCUUAUGACCUGGGCUACACACGUGCUACAAUGGUUGGUACAACGAGUUGCGAGUCGGUGACGGCGAGCUAAUCUCUUAAAGCCAAUCUCAGUUCGGAUUGUAGGCUGCAACUCGCCUACAUGAAGUCGGAAUCGCUAGUAAUCGCGGAUCAGCACGCCGCGGUGAAUACGUUCCCGGGCCUUGUACACACCGCCCGUCACACCACGAGAGUUUGUAACACCCGAAGUCGGUGAGGUAACCUUUUGGAGCCAGCCGCCUAAGGUGGGACAGAUGAUUGGGGGAAGUCGUA
rnacentral:rRNA from 1 species